CCUACGGGCGGCAUCAGUGGGGAAUAUUGGACAAUGGGGGGAACCCUGAUCCAGCCAUGCCGCGUGUGUGAAGAAGGCCCUCGGGUUGUAAAGCACUUUCAGUGAGGAAGAACGCCUGGUGGUUAAUACCCAUCAGGAAAGACAUCACUCACAGAAGAAGCACCGGCUAACUCCGUGCCAGCAGCCGCGGUAAUACGGAGGGUGCGAGCGUUAAUCGGAAUUACUGGGCGUAAAGCGCGCGUAGGUGGCUUGAUAAGCCGGUUGUGAAAGCCCCGGGCUCAACCUGGGAACGGCAUCCGGAACUGUCAAGCUAGAGUGCAGGAGAGGAGGGUAGAAUUCCCGGUGUAGCGGUGAAAUGCGUAGAGAUCGGGAGGAAUACCAGUGGCGAAGGCGGCCUUCUGGACUGACACUGACACUGAGGUGCGAAAGCGUGGGUAGCAAACAGGAUUAGAUACCCUAGUAGUC
rnacentral:rRNA from 1 species